rnacentral:rRNA from 1 species
AGGACGAACGCUGGCGGCGUGCUUAACACAUGCAAGUCAAGGGGGCCCAGCAAUGGGCAACCGGCGAACGGGUGCGUAGCACGUGAGCAACCUACCGAAAUGUGGGGGAUAGCCGGCCUAACGGCCGAGUAAUACCGCAUACGCUCUCGAUGAGGCAUUUCAUUGAGAGGAAACCUACGGGACAUUUCGAGGGGCUCGCGGCCUAUCAGCUAGUUGGAGAGGUAACGGCUCACCAAGGCAACGACGGGUAGC